rnacentral:rRNA from 1 species
AUUGAACGCUGGCGGCAUGCUUUACACAUGCAAGUCGAACGGUAACAGGCCUUCGGGCGCUGACGAGUGGCGAACGGGUGAGUAAUGCAUCGGAACGUGCCCAGUCGUGGGGGAUAACUAUCCGAAAGGAUAGCUAAUACCGCAUACGAUCUGCGGAUGAACGCGGGGGACCUUCGGGCCUCGCGCGAUUGGAGCGGCCGAUGUCAGAUUAGGUAGUUGGUGGGGUAAAGGCUCACCAAGCCAACGAUCUUUAGCUGGUCUGAGAGGACGACCGGCGAGACUGGGACUGAGACACGGCCCAGUCGCCUACGGGAGGGAGCAGUGGGGAAUUUUGGACAAUGGGCGCAAGCCUGAUCCAGCAAUGCCGCGUGCAGGAACAAGGCCUUCGGGUUGUAAACUGCUUUUUUACGGAACGAAACGGCCCUGGUUAAUACCUGGGGCUAAUGACGGUACCGUAAGAAUAAGCACCGGCUAACUACGUGCCAGCCGCCGCCGUAAAAC